UUCACUUUCCAAUGAGUGAUCACUAUUUAUUCGCUCUUCUGCAGCAAAAUUGCUCCAGCUGGACCAUACAUCCCAUCAGAGUUGUAUAGGAGCUUGCAGACUGCUUUCCCCUUCACAGUCCCUCUGCAUCCAGUGAGGUGAUGCUGCUGCCAGGCCAUGAUGCACUGAGCAGAGUUCAUCAUGGGUGAGGCCAGGUGCGUGCUCUGGUGCUGCAGGACCAGUCUAUUCCCAGCCAGAGGAAGAGGAAGAGGAAAGCUUAAGGCUACAUCUCUUAGGACCAGCUUGCAGGGAGCUGA